rnacentral:tRNA from 1 species
AAGUUAAGGAUUUAAGUUAAAUAAACUUUUAACCUUCAAAGUUAAAUAUAGAGGUUCUCUAAGCCUUA